GAGGCUCAGAGAGCGGCUCCCUCCGCACGUCCCAACCCCAGGCCCUCCACUGGCGGGUCUCUCGCACACCCUUGCAACCCGUCCAGCCUAAUUUCCUGGACGGCAAGGAGAGAAACCGUGUAAGGCCAGGAACGAGUAAGAGCCAAAGUAAAGAAGGGAGGACGAGGGGGGAAGAAACAGGCAUCUAAGACCGGGAACCUUCCCGCCUCUCCCAGCCUCUAGCCCGCAGCCUCCGAGAGCAGCAAGGGGUGAUACAAGGACGCCGGACCACCUCGGAACCACUGCUCUGACCCACAAAGCCGAACGAGGUGACCAGCCCCGCUCGCCACCAGGCACGCUGGUGUGGGGCUGAAUCCCAGUCGGGACGGACGCGCGCUCGGGCCUCUCAACCUGCGCACCUUGGUGCAGCGGUGCCAGGCCCACUGUGGCCAACAGGCCUCAGCCCCUCGCCCCAGGAAACCCUCGAAGGCCAGAGGCUUCUGUAGGCCCUCGACCACGGUGAGAGACCCCCCUGACUGACGGAGAUCUCUAAGAAACUACCUUUGAACUGGCCUUCUGAGAUCCGCCUGGCGUUUUGUCGGCCAUCUUGAGCUUUGCUCCUCCUUCAGCGGAGGCAGCAGCGCGGGUGAGUCGAGCACCGAGAGAACAGAUAGCAGCCGAGCGCGCCAGAAAGGCUGCCAGGCCGAAUAGCCGAACGCCGAGACGGAGACCUCCGCGGCGCCGGGGCCGCGUGACUUCCGCGUCGAGGCGCUUUUACGCGCCCCGCCCACCCCGCUCGCCUUCCGGUGAAUUGCGGCGCCCAGUCACGUCACGCGCCUGCGGAAUUUAGGGACUCUCCUUGACCCGACUUUCAAGGCCAACUGAUAAUUCAGUCAUUUUCCUCCCAGAGCCAACCGGCGUUAGAUGCGAGCGGGUUCUACUUCCUGAGGGGGGAAGGAAGCUGCUCUUUUAAAGCAACUGCAGUAGCCACGUGAGCCGAGCGUCUCACCUCAGCUGAUGAGGCAGUUCGUCGAGACACUUUGCCGCACGAUCCCCCAGGGGGCACAGGCCUUGGUGGCAAGGCAAAUUUGCAAUCUGCUCACGUUAAAAAAUGGUGAGCAGUGACUUCAGAGUUGAGAAAAAACAGGGAAAUAGGAUAAAAACUGUUUAGGACGUCGGAGCAUGGUACCUGCAUAGACUGGGCAUGGAGUUGGGGAGGGAUGGAUCGUAAUAUAGACGCUGUUCUAAAACGAGCAUGUUUAUUGUUACUGUGCAGUACAGGCACGCCCUAGCAACUGUGGGGAGGUUAAAGGACAGUUUGAAGGAGUUGGUGGGAUUUGGGGAUCGAAAUGAGGUUGGCAGGUUUGCUCAGCAAGUGCCUUUUUCCCUCUGAGACUUCUGGCUACCCGCACCUAUUUCUUUGAAGCAUAGUCGCAAAAGUUGUGUAGCAGAAGAUAGCCUUGAACUGCUGAUUUUCCCGCCUCAGGUCCUGGGAAUUAGUCUUGGGCCACCAUGUCUAAGCUUUUUGUUAAUUGAAGGGAAGCGGGGAAUGAGUAAGUUUGGUUUGAUUUGGGUUUUUCCAGUUUGUCGGCAUUCCACCCCUGGCUGUCCCUGUGCUGUAGACCAGGCUGACCUCAAACUCGGAGAUCUGUCUCCCAAGUGCUGGGAGAAAACGUGUGUGCCAUCACCUAGAUUUCAGUUACAGAUAAGGGUCAGACCUAGAGAAGAGGCUCAGAAUUGGAGAUGUGUGACAGGACCUGAGAAUGGAAAUAAAUUCAUUUGGGCUGGAGGGCACAGAACCGUAUUAUACUGUACUUUCAUGCAUAGCAACCGUUACUUUCUGAUCGUUGGCUUCCUGUUACUACGGUUUCUAUCUCUGGUACCUGGCUUAUUUAUACCUCAUCGCCUACCACCAGAUUUUAUUGAUAUUUAUUUAUUUAUUUAUUUUGGUUUUUUCAAGACAGGGUUUCUCUGUGUAGUCCUGGCUGUCCUGGAACUCACUCUAUAGACCAGGCUGGCCUCGAACUCAGAAAUCUGCCUGCCUCUGCCUCCCAAGUGCUGGGAUUAAAGGCGUGUGCCACUACCGCCCUGCUUAUUGACCUUUUUAGAGAGUUCAGCAAUGUAGCCUCCUAGACUAAUGCUUCCCUGGUCGCUCCCCCACCCCCUUCACUAUACCCCCAUCAACCAAAAAAUAAACUUCAACUUCUGUAUGGUAAA
rnacentral:lncRNA from 1 species